UACAGAGGGUGCAAGCGUUGUUCGGAAUUAUUGGGCGUAAAGCGCGUGUAGGCGGCUUUGCAAGUCGGGUGUGAAAUCCCUCAGCUCAACUGAGGAAGUGCGCCCGAAACUGCAGAGCUUGAGUACCGGAGAGGAUGGCGGAAUUCCCCAAGUAGAGGUGAAAUUCGUAGAUAUGGGGAGGAACACCGGUGGCGAAGGCGGCCAUCUGGACGGAUACGUGACGCUGAGACGCGAAACG
rnacentral:rRNA from 1 species